rnacentral:rRNA from 1 species
CAAUAAGCGGAGGAAAAGAAACUAACAAGGAUUCCCCUAGUAACUGCGAGUGAAGCGGGAAAAGCUCAAAUUUAAAAUCUGGCGGUCUUUGGCCGUCCGAGUUGUAGUCUGGAGAAGUGCUUUCCGCGCUGGACCGUGUACAAGUCUCUUGGAACAGAGCGUCAUAGAGGGUGAGAAUCCCGUCUUUGACACGGACUACCAGUGCUUUGUGAUGCGCUCUCAAAGAGUCGAGUUGUUUGGGAAUGCAGCUCAAAAUGGGUGGUGAAUUCCAUCUAAAGCUAAAUAUUGGCGAGAGACCGAUAGCGAACAAGUACCGUGAGGGAAAGAUGAAAAGCACUUUGGAAAGAGAGUUAAACAGUACGUGAAAUUGCUGAAAGGGAAACGCUUGAAGUCAGUCGCGUUGUCCGGAACUCAGCCUUGCUUCGGCUUGGUGCAUUUUCCGGGCGACGGGCCAGCAUCGAUUUUGACCGUCGGAAAAGGGCUGAGGGAAUGUGGCACCUUCGGGUGUGUUAUAGCCUUCAGUCGCAUACGGCGGUUGGGAUCGAGGAACGCAGCACGCCUUAUGGCUGGGGUUCGCCCACAUUCGUGCUUAGGAUGCUGGCAUAAUGGCUUUAAACGACCCGUCUUGAAACACGGACCAAGGAGUCUAACAUGCCUGCGAGUGUUUGGGUGGAAAACCCGAGCGCGUAAUGAAAGUGAAAGUUGAGACCUCUGUCGUGGAGGGCAUCGACGCCCGGACCUGACGUUCUCUGACGGAUCCGCGGUAGAGCAUGUAUGUUGGGACCCGAAAGAUGGUGAACUAUGCCUGAAUAGGGUGAAGCCAGAGGAAACUCUGGUGGAGGCUCGUAGCGAUUCUGACGUGCAAAUCGAUCGUCAAAUUUGGGUAUAGGGGCGAAAGACUAAUCGAACCAUCUAGUAGCUGGUUCCUGCGA